rnacentral:rRNA from 1 species
UACGUAGGGGGCAAGCGUUGUCCGGAAUUACUGGGCGUAAAGCGUGCGCAGGCGGUUUUGCAAGCCGGAUGUGAAAUCCCCGGGCUUAACCUGGGAAUGGCAUUUGGGACUGCAAGGCUGGAGUGCGGCAGAGGAGACUGGAAUUCCUGGUGUAGCGGUGAAAUGCGCAGAUAUCAGGAGGAACACCGGUGGCGAAGGCGGAUCUCUGGGCCAUUACUGACGCUGAGGAGCGAAAGCGUGGGGAGCGAACAGG